UACGUAGGUGACCAGCGUUGUCCGGAUUUACUGGGCGUAAAGCGCACGUAGGCGGCUUGGUAUGUCGGGUGUGAAAUCCCCGGGCUCAACCUGGGAACUGCAUCCGAAACUGCCUUGCUCGAGUAUGGGAGAGGGAAGUGGAAUUUCCGGUGUAGCGGUGAAAUGCGUAGAUAUCGGAAGGAACAUCAGUGGCGAAGGCGACUUCCUGGACCAAUACUGACGCUCAGGUGCGAAAGCGUGGGGAGCAAACAGG
rnacentral:rRNA from 1 species